AGUCGAGCGAUGAGGCUCCUUCGGGGGUACAUCCGCGGCAGACGGGUGAGUAACACGUAGGUGACCUACCCUCGAGACGGGGAUAACGGCUGGAAACAGUCGCUAAUACCCGAUAGACUUACCAGGUCAAAGCGGUAAGAAAAGCUACGGUGCUUGAGGAGGGGCCUGCGGCCCAUCAGCUAGUUGGUAGGGUAACGGCCUACCAAGGCGAAGACGGGUAGGGGGUGUGAGAGCACGAGCCCCCACAAUGGGACUGCGACACGGGCCAUACUCCUACGGGAGGCAGCAGCAGGGAAUAUUGCACAAUGGACGGAAGUCUGAUGCAGCGACGCCGCGUGAGUGAAGACGGCCUUCGGGUUGUAAAGCUCUUUUACGGGGGACGAGGAAGGACGGUACCCUGGGAAGAAGUGUCGGCUAACUACGUGCCAGCAGCCGCGGUAAGACGUAGGACACAAGCGUUAUCCGGAGUUACUGGGCGUAAAGCGCCUGCAGGCGGCCUGGUAAGUUGGACGUGAAAGCCCCGUGCUUAACGCGGGGAGGUCGGACAAUACUGCCAAGCUAGAGUGCGUCAGAGGGGAGUGGAAUUUCCGGAGUAGCGGUAAAAUGCGCAGAUAUCGGAAGGAACACCAGUGGCGAAAGCGACUCCCUGGGGCGCGACUGACGCUAAGAGGCGAAAGCUAGGGGAGCGAACAGGAUUAGAGACCCUGGUAGUCCUAGCCCUA
rnacentral:rRNA from 1 species